rnacentral:rRNA from 1 species
AGGACGAACGCUGGCGGCGUGCUUAACACAUGCAAGUCGAACGAGAUUCAUGGAGCUUGCUCCGGAAGAUCUAGUGGCGAACGGGUGCGUAACACGUGAGAAACCUGCCCCAGACUUGGGAAUAACAGUCGGAAACGACUGCUAAUACCGAAUACCUUUGAAGCGUCGCAUGGCGCACCAAAGAAGCUUUUGCGGUUUGGGAGGUCUCGCGGCCUAUCAGCUAGUUGGUGAGGUAACGGCUCACCAAGGCAUCGACGGGUAGCUGGUCUGAGAGGAUGAUCAGCCACACUGGGACUGAGACACGGCCCAGACUCCUACGGGAGCAGCAGUGGGGAAUAUGCACAUGGGCGCAAGCCUGAUGCAGCAACGCCGCGUGCGGAAGACGGACCGUUUAAGGGUGUAAACCGCGUUUCACGCGAAGGAAGAAAUGAACGGUACCUGACAGAGGAAGGUGACGUCCAACUACG